CGGCGUGCCCCGCAACAGCUUCCGGCGUGACGCAGUAGAAAAGGUGGCGUGGCUGGCGAUUCGUGUUCGUGAGGGCCUUUUCUGGUGUACCCUCAAUUCUUGAAUGUUCUAACUUCUAGCAGCAGAAUAACAAAAGGCAACCCUGGGCUUGGCCAGCUCAAACAGGAAGAAAGCAAGGUGCUAAGUACCCAGCCAGCAUAGGCUCAGGCUGUGAAAGGCAAGGCCAUGCUAGAGAAAAAGGGAGAAGAUGGACCUGGUCUGGAGGCCUAACCAGCAGUCUGACAAUGCAUAGUGAAACUCCAUGGGAAAAGAUGACAUGAACUUAGUUGAAAGAGGUUGGCAAAUGCAAAAUCAGGGCUGUAAAAUGCAAGGGGAAUAACCUUUAACUCCAUGAAAACCAAAACUUGGAUAGGGUCACACAUCAAGAUGAUGAUGAUGCCAGGAUCAGUGACAGAUCCUACUCAACUGCUAGGCUAAUGGCCUCUAAAGUGGACUUUGCCAUCCUUUGACCAUCAGAGCCAAGGGAGUCUUACCAAGUCUGUUUGGGAACAGCACUGGCAGGUCUAGUUUCCUGACUUCCUGGUCAGGAUUCCUGAAGUCCUUUUCAUCCCCGUCUGCACCAUCCACAGUGCCAUCUUCUACCUCCGUGGGUUCCCCAUUCUGGUGAUUCAGCUCUCCAGCCUCAAUAUCACUUCCUUCUUGGCCAGGAACAGCAUCGCUUGCCAUAGGAGGUGCAGAGGCCCAGGAGCCUGAAAGAGCAUUCAUUUCCUCAUAAAAGAUA
rnacentral:sRNA from 1 species